AACGGUGCCAUUUCAAUACUAUUUCUAAGCCAUAACAUGAGUCAAGGCUGGGAACAGAGGUUCUGGAAUUUUUGGCGCGGAAAAUGGCGCGACUCCAAUAUAAUUUGGUGCAAUAGCACGAGGCAGUGAGGGCUGGUGAGUUUCUGGAAAACGUGGCAUGAAGUUGGUGUUAUUUCUAUGAAGAAUUGGUGCGAUAGCACCAGGCCAAAAUAAAAAUUAUAAGAUUUCCUUGUUUUAAAUUAAUGUGAGUAUACUUUGAACUUAUCUUUUAGACUUAAAAAAAAAAAAAAAAAAUUAGCCUCAGCAGCACACACGCACAAACAUCAGUGUCUUUCAAUUUUUCAUUCUUCUCCUCACAGAAAACCAAAAAACCCACGAAACCCUCUCCCCCAAAUCACCAACUUUCUUAAAAUUUUCCCUUCUUCUCCAUUCCCUUGUUCCAUCUUGCAUUCAUUCACUCUCCAGCACCCAUUCUUGCAUCUACUUCAUCCCCAAGAGAUGGCUGGCAAAAGGAGGCAAUACUUAAGGAGAGGGGCUUUGUCAUAUCCUUGUGCAUAUACGCCUAAUUCAGCAUUGUGAUUGAUGAGAGGGGUAGUGGAGCGGCUGGAGAGGAGAGUGAUGAUGAUGAGCCUCAGAGCUCAGAAUGAGGGAGUUCUUUCCCUUAUCUUUUUACUGUUUUAUUUUUCGUUCAGUUUUAGUUUUCUUAGUUUCUAUGUCUUAUUUAAUUACGUUUUACAUGUUAGUUAGUUUGUGUUUUGUGGAGUUAGUUUACCCUUAUAUGCUUGUGUUGUGCACCAUGUUACUUGCGUAUCUUAAGUGGUUUCACCCUAAAUUUAGAUGCUUGUUUUGUUUGUGAAAAUUGCUGAAAAUAAGUUAUUUGGGGUGAUUCACAUGUGGGGAACUGUUUGUGUUAAGAGAAUGAGAGUUGGGUAACUUUUGGAACCUGAGUUGAGUUGCUUGGAAACACUGUUUUGAGUUCUGAUUAUGGGUACACUUACCCUUUGUUUCUGAGUGUUGAGUGAAUAUUCUGACAUACUUGUACCUGCUUGAACCUGUCUUGAUUUGCAUCUCGGUUGAAUAUGUGCAGUUUUGUGAUUCAGAGAGAGACUUAUAAGAAUCUUUGUUGGCUUUCAGAAUUUGCUUUCAUAUUUCCCUUAGUGGCCCCUUUGAGCCUUAAUUAUUAUUUAUUUGGUACCUUGCUUUGGUGAUUUGUUUGGUUGUUAAGUGAUCUUAGUUACUUAAAAAUUGGAAAGAGCUUAAAAAUUGCAGGCUUCUAUUCUCUCAAAAAAGAAAAAAAAAUGAAAAGAAAAAAAAAUGUAAAAUUUGAGGUAUGUGCCUCGGAACAAAGGAAAAGAAAAAAUAUAAAAUAAGUGAGUAAGGUUAUGGAGGUGGUCAUCCCACUUUCUGUAUUCCCCAAUCACUUCACUGCUUUGUUCCAAAUGAAAAAAAAAUUAAGAGAGAGAGUCUGAAUGUGAUUAAUUAAUUGCUCUUGUGUACUUCAUGAGAAAAAAAAUCACUUAACUAAAUUUGGUAGCCCUUUGAGUUGUCAAUUCUUUCAAUUCCAUACCUACAUUGCACCCUUGGCCACGUUACAACCCGAUGAGGUCUCUCCUAAUUGCUUUGCUGUCUCUUAUUUGAUUUUGAGUUGAAAGAUAGCCAGGUUUGAUGCACUGUACUUGUUUGUUCAUGAGCUGCGAGAUGUGUGAGCUUAAUUGUGUAUGGACUCUUGACUUUGUUUCCUUGCUGCUUGUAAUUCUCACUUACUGAAGUUUAUUCACUUUCUUAUUUUAGCACUUACAUGAAUUACUAUGAUGAACCCUAGGUUUUUAGACUGAAAAUUUGGCAUCUGAGUUAGGGGUGAUUAGUUCUGUGCUUGAGGACAAGCUAAUUGAGUUUACGCUUGAGGACAAGCUGUCGUUGAGUAUAGUGGUGUGUUGACCCGGGGAUAUAAGGGUAUUUUUGUGGGUCUUUUAUUUUAUUUUUAAUUUAUUUUCUGAGUUUUAAUUAGUUUUUAUGGUAUUUUUAAGUAAUUUUCGGAUUUUUAAUUAAUUUAGGAUUUUAUGAGCUUUUAUUUUGAUUUAUUAGAUUUUAGUAGUUUUUAUCUAUCAUUAAUUAGUACUUUUAAAAUUAUAGAUUUAGUUAUGAUUUAGGUUGUUUAUUUUUGGGUUGUUAUCUUUCUAGUAUUUUAUUUGAUUUAUUUUGAUAUUUUUAUUUUAUUUUAUUUAGGAUUUUCGGAAUAAAAAGAAAAGAGAAAAUCAGGAAAACGGAGCUGAUCCGGUGCUGCUGGUCCACGGGAUUUACUAUGCAUACGCAGGAGAUGGACGACUGUUCUUUGCUUCCCGGCCACAUGGCUUAAUCCCGCUGUGGGUCUACGGUAGUGCCAUGGUCCGCAAAGCACUUGAAUGCUCACUUAAAACUUGGACCAAUGGUGAUGCGACACGUGGCCGUUUGGUGGGUUGAAAGAUAUCACGUGAAAAGGAGAAAGAGAACGUGACGGGACGGAAGAAAACAAUAUUUAUAUAUUAGGUUUUGGUUGUUUAAAUAGGGGAGAACCAGAUAUAUUGAGAGUGGAGCAGCAGCCGUGAACAAAAUAAGGGAGAAACAAGAAGCUUCAAUUCUUCAUUAAUUUGAUAAGUUUUUCUUCUGUAAUUUUCAUGGUCAUGCUUGGCUAAAUCUCUUUUAGUACUUGGGUGUGGAUCCUUUUUAGGAUUAUGUUUUGAUUCGAACAUUUGCUUCAUAUGAAUUCUGUUUAUUAAUCUA